rnacentral:tRNA from 1 species
GCCUGGGUGGCUUAGUCGGUUAAGCAUCUGACUUCGGCUCAGGUCAUGAUCUCGCAGUCCGUGAGUCCAAGCCUCAUGUCAGACU